AGCACCACAACGGGUGGAGCCUGGUCGGUUUAAUUGGACUCAACGCCGGGAAGCUUACCGGAUAAGACAGCGGAAUGAUUGCCGGGCUGAAGACUCUGCAUGACCAGCUGAGAGGAGGUGCAUGGCCGUCGUCAGUUCGUACUGUGAAGCAUCCUGUUAAGUCAGGCAACGAGCGAGACCCACGCCCACAGUUGCCAGCGUACUCUCCGGAGUGACGGGUACACUGUGGGACCGCCGCUGCUAAAGCGGAGGAAGGAAUGGGCAACGGUAGGUCAGUAUGCCCCGAAUAUCCCGGGCUACACGCGAGCUACAAUGGUUGGUACAAUGGGUAUCUACCCCGAAAGGGGACGGGAAUCUCCCAAAACCAAUCUUAGUUCGGAUUGAGGGCUGCAACUCGCCCUCAUGAAGCUGGAAUCCGUAGUAAUCGCGUUUCAACAGAACGCGGUGAAUACGUCCCUGCUCCUU
rnacentral:rRNA from 1 species